ACGAACGCUGGCGGCGUGCUUAACACAUGCAAGUCGAGCGGUAAGGCCUUUCGGGGUACACGAGCGGCGAACGGGUGAGUAACACGUGGGUGAUCUGCCCUGCACUUCGGGAUAAGCCUGGGAAACUGGGUCUAAUACCGGAUAUGACCUCAGGUUGCAUGACUUGGGGUGGAAAGAUUUAUCGGUGCAGGAUGGGCCCGCGGCCUAUCAGCUUGUUGGUGGGGUAAUGGCCUACCAAGGCGACGACGGGUAGCCG
rnacentral:rRNA from 3 species